rnacentral:rRNA from 1 species
AUUGAACGCUGGCGGCAGGCCUAACACAUGCAAGUCGAACGGUAACAGAAAGCAGCUUGCUGCUUUGCUGACGAGUGGCGGACGGGUGAGUAAUGUCUGGGAAACUGCCUGAUGGAGGGGGAUAACUACUGGAAACGGUAGCUAGUACCGCAUAACGUCGCAAGACCAAAGAGGGGGACCUUCGGGCCUCUUGCCAUCGGAUGUGCCCAGAUGGGAUUAGCUAGUAGGUGGGGUAAAGGCUCACCUAGGCGACGAUCCCUAGCUGGUCUGAGAGGAUGACCAGCCACACUGGAACUGAGACACGGUCCAGACUCCUACGGGAGGCAGCAGUGGGGAAUAUUGCACAAUGGGCGCAAGCCUGAUGCAGCCAUGCCGCGUGUAUGAAGAAGGCCUUCGGGUUGUAAAGUACUUUCAGCGGGGAGGAAGGGAGUAAAGUUAAUACCUUUGCUCAUUGACGUUACCCGCAGAAGAAGCACCGGCUAACUCCGUG